rnacentral:rRNA from 1 species
UAGUGGCGAACGGGUGAGUAACACACGUAAGUAACCUACCUUUAAGACGAGGAUAACAAUCGGAAACGGUUGCUAAGACUGGAUAGGAAACAAAAAGGCAUCUUUUUGUUUUUAAAAGACCUUCUUCGGAGGGUAUGCUUAAAGAGAGGCUUGCGCCACAUUAGUUAGUUGGUGAGGUAAAGGCUUACCAAGAUUAUGAUGUGUAGCUGGACUGAGAGGUUGAACAGCCACAUUGGGACUGAGACACGGCCCAAACUCCUACGGGAGGCAGCAGUAGGGAAUUUUCGGCAAUGGAGGAAACUCUGACCGAGCGACGCCGCGUGAACGAUGAAGUAUUUCGGUAUGUAAAGUUCUUUUAUUGAAGAAGAAAAAAUAGUGGAAAAACUAUCUUGACGUUAUUCAAUGAAUAAGCCCCGGCUAACUAUGUGCCAGCAGCCGCGGUAAGACAUAGGGGGCGAGCGUUAUCCGGAAUUAUUGGGCGUAAAGGGUGCGUAGGCGGUUAGAUAAGUCUAUAAUUUAAUUUCAGUGCUUAACGCUGUCUUGUUAUAGAAACUGUCUUGACUAGAGUGAGAUAGAGGCAAGCGGAAUUCCAUGUGUAGCGGUAAAAUGUGUAAAUAUAUGGAGGAACACCAGAAGCGUAGGCGGCUUGCUGGGUCUUUACUGACGCUGAGGCACGAAAGCGUGGGGAGCAAACAGGAUUACAUACCCUGGUACUCCACGCUGUAAACGAUGAGUACUAAGUGUCGGGGUAACCUCGGUACUGAAGUUAACACAUUAAGUACUCCGCCUGAGUAGUACGUACGCAAGUAUGAAACUUAAAGGAAUUGACGGGACUCCGCACAAGCGGUGGAUCAUGUUGUUUAAUUCGAAGAUACACGAAAAACCUUACCAGGUCUUGACAUACUCUGCAAAGCUAUAGAAAUAUAGUGGAGGUUAUCAGGGAUACAGGUGGUGCAUGGUUGUCGUCAGUUCGUGUCGUGAGAUGUUAGGUUAAGUCCUAAAACGAACGCAACCCCUGUCGCUAGUUGCCAGCACGUAAUGGUGGGGACUUUAGCGAGACUGCCAAUUAAAAAUUGGAGGAAGGUGGGGAUAACGUCAAAUCAUCAUGCCCCUUAUGAUCUGGGCUACAAACGUGAUACAAUGGCUAUUACAAAGAGUAGCUGAAACGCGAGUUUUUAGCCAAUCUCAAAAAGGUAGUCUCAGUACGGAUUGAAGUCUGCAACUCGACUUCAUGAAGCUGGAAUCGCUAGUAAUCGCGAAUCAGCAUGUCGCGGUGAAUACGUUCUCGGGGUUUGUACACACCGCCCGUCAAACCACGAAAGUUAGCAAUACCCGAAAGCAGUGGCUUAACUUUGCAAGAAGAGGGAGCUGUCUAAGGUAGGGUUGAUGAUUGGGGUUAAGUCGUAACAAGGUAUCCUUACCGGAAGGUGAGGAUGGAUCACCUCCUUUCU